rnacentral:rRNA from 1 species
GUAGGGAAUUUUGCGCAAUGGGCGAAAGCCUGACGCAGCAACGCCGCGUGGGUGAUGAAGGCCUUCGGGUCGUAAAACCCUGUCGGUGAGAGACGAAAUGCGCCGUGCUGAAUAAGUGCGGCGCCUGACGGUAUCUCGCGAGGAAGCCCCGGCCAACUCCGUGCCAGCAGCCGCGGUAAUACGGGGGGGGCGAGCGUUAUUCGGAAUUACUGGGCGUAAAGGGCGUGUAGGCGGUCCCGUUUGUCGCCGGUGAAAUCCCUUGGCUUAACCGAGGAACUGCUGGCGAAACGGCGGGACUUGAGUCCGGGAGAGGAGAGCGGAAUUCCCAGUGUAGCGGUGAAAUGCGUAGAUAUUGGGAGGAACACCGGUGGCGAAGGCGGCUCUCUGGACCGGUACUGACGCUGAGACGCGAAAGCUAGGGGAGCAAACAGGAUUAGAUACCCUUGUAGUCC